rnacentral:rRNA from 1 species
CUCAUAAAGUACGUCGUAGUCCGGAUUGGAGUCUGCAACUCGACUCCAUGAAGUCGGAAUCGCUAGUAAUCGUAGAUCAGAAUGCUACGGUGAAUACGUUCCCGGGCCUUGUACACACCGCCCGUCACACCAUGGGAGUGGGUUGCAAAAGAAGUAGGUAGCUUAACCUUCGGGAGGGCGCUUACCACUUUGUGAUUCAUGACUGGGGUGAAGUCGUAACAAGGUAACCGUAGGGGAACCUGCGGUUGGAUCACCUCCUUA